AGAGACAGCAGUCGCCACGGUAAUACGGAGGGUGCAAGCGUUAUCCGGAUUUAUUGGGUUUAAAGGGUCCGUAGGCGGAUCUGUAAGUCAGUGGUGAAAUCUCACAGCUUAACUGUGAAACUGCCAUUGAUACUGCAGGUCUUGAGUAAAUUUGAAGUGGCUGGAAUAAGUAGUGUAGCGGUGAAAUGCAUAGAUAUUACUUAGAACACCAAUUGCGAAGGCAGGUCACUAAGAUUUAACUGACGCUGAUGGACGAAAGCGUGGGGAGCGAACAGGAUUAGAUACCCGAGUAGUCCCUGUCUCUUAUAC
rnacentral:rRNA from 1 species